rnacentral:lncRNA from 1 species
CUCUCGUAGUCAUCAUCUAAUCGAAUUAAAAAUUGUCUUUUGUAGUCGGGUUCUUCAUCAAGAAGUAUUAAAACUGUCUCAUCUAUUAUAAUUACUGAAUGUAUCUGAUGGUCAAAAUCUUCAUCUUCAUCUAUUAUGAUUUUCCAUUUAUCAAUUAGAACUUAAAUAUGCUUCUGGUGGUUGCGGUCUUCAUCUAUGAUUUGGCAAUCGCAUCUAGAGAACAGUUCAAUAACAACAUUUCUGCCAAAUUUUGUUGAAGUUGGCAAAGACGUUUUAUGAUAUAAUGUGAAUUGCUUGCCCUCAAUGUUGCCAUGCUUUAAAUCCAACAUGUUUAAAAUCAUUAUCAUUCACAGAGGGUGUUUAAAUGAUCAAUCUCCGGAUACUUUUGAAAGGAGAUGACUAAAGUAAAUAAACAGUUUUAUAACAGAAGGAAAACAGGAACUAUAUGAAAACAUUACAUGUUAUUUU